rnacentral:lncRNA from 1 species
CUUCCCUUUUCAAAUUAUCGUAUACAAAUUAAGGGGUAUAUCUGGUACUAUGUCUCAUCUCAAACAUGCCUCAACGGUGGUAAUUAUCAUGCAAUCCAAAUAUUUAUGCAGGAUAGGUCUAUAUAUGCUUGAUAAUAGAUUGUGCCCUUUUUGGGAAUGUAAUAUUGUAGAACAGCUUAUGUGAAAUGUAUGGAAAAUGUUUGCAAAUGCUGAUAUUGAAUAGAACUUCCUUUUUCAAAUUAUCGUAUACAAAUUAAGGGGUAUAUCUGGUACUAUGUCUCAUCUCAAACAUGCCUCAACGGUGGUAAUUAUCAUGCAAUCCAAAUAUUUAUGCAGGAUAGGUCUAUAUAUGCUUAUUAGUUCUUAACACAGGUACAUCCAAUAGAAUAUGUUUAGAAAGAUUGGUGUCCUUUUAAGAAAUGUUGACAUCAGUGUAGCUGCAAAUAAACAUGUC